UCCCAUGUGUCUCAGCUGGUAAAGAAUCUGCCUGCAAUACAGGAGACCUGGGUUCAAUCCCUGGGUUGGAA
rnacentral:tRNA from 1 species